GAAGCCUCCUCCUGCUGGGACGGCUCAGAAUGGUGGACUCCACAGUCCCUCCGCGAGAGACGUGGUUUCCAUGCGUACAAUAGAUCUUUCUCAUCCCCCAAACCCAACACCCUCCUGCUCAACAGGCGUUAUUCCUAAAGUGGCUUCACUGUUCAGACUGAAGAGCCACGGUAGCCAAAGUGAUGAGCGGAGUAGAACCGAGCAGUCAGGAGAGAUCUUGUUCCCUGUAGGAAACUGGGCAUCUCUGAGGCCCUGAGCAUCCCAGGAGGCCGAUUGCACAGAGACCUCUGGUCGCUGACCCCAGUCUGCCUCCACAUCCCUGGAAUAGCCCAUCAUGGGCCCUUCACCCUUGGCAGGUGGAAACCAUUCAACCUGCUGGGGCCAGUGUGUCCCCAUUUCAUGGCAUUGGGGGACAACAGGAUUCUCUGUCUAGGUCCCACUGUACUCAAGUCCUUGGGAAGAUGCCCACCCCUGCUUGGGACUUGAGACUCCAGAGACUCGAGCGGCUGUGGGCCACUGGGUCUGGCCCCUUUUUACCUGGGGGCGGCGGUGGAAUGGGGGUUACGCAGCCAGCCAGCAUCUGGGAGCCCGGCGAGAGCGGUUCAGGUGUUCUCCGAAGCCGCCGCGUACAGUGUAACCUUUAGACAAUUUUGUCUCACAGGAUGGACGUGGUAGAGGUCGCGGGUAGUUGGUGGGCACAAGAGCGAGAGGACGUCAUUAUGAAAUACGAAAAGGGACACCGAGCUGGGCUGUCAGAGGACAAGGGGCCUAAGCCUUUUCGAAGCUACAACAACAACGUCGAUCAUUUGGGGAUUGUACAUGAGACGGAACUGCCUCCUCUGACUGCGCGGGAGGCGAAGCAAAUUCGGCGGGAGAUCAGCCGAAAGAGCAAGUGGGUGAAAAUGCUGGGAGAGUGGGACACCUACAAAAACAGCAGGAAGCUCAUAGAUCGAGCGUACCAGGGAAUUCCCAUGAACAUCCGGGGCCCGAUGUGGUCAGUCCUCCUGAACAUUGAGGAAAUGAAGUUGAAAAACCCCGGAAGAUACCAGAUCAUGAAGGAGAAGGGCAAGAGGUCAUCUGAACACAUCCAGCAGAUGGACCUGGACAUAAGCGGGACAUUAAGGAGGCAUAUAUUCUUCAGGGAUCGAUACGGAACCAAGUAAGUCUACGGGAGCCACAGGGUCCCAGCAGAGAUGGGGUGAAUGAGAGGAAUGGGGGCUUCCCCGGCGCAGAAGCCAGGGUCACCCAGGAGGGAUGACACAGCUGCCAAGAGCUCUCCUGGCCCAGGGAGCAGCCGGCACCAUGAACCGAGCACCUCCCUGGUUCCAAGCCCUGGGCCAGACUGGAACAUGUGGGGCCAGAACCCAGGAGGAUCCUGAGGAGAUGGAAGGCAGCAAACAAAAUCAUGCACAAUGGUGAAAGGUGCUCUCCCUGACCCAUGGGGACCCAUGGUAGGACCCACGGGAGG
rnacentral:lncRNA from 1 species